rnacentral:rRNA from 1 species
CGUCAUGCAGACGCGGAAGGAGACAUUACCGAGUUUUCAACUCCCAAACCCCUGUGAACAUACCUGAACGUUGCUUCGGCGGGACCGCCCCGGCGCCCUCAGCGGCCCGGAACCAGGCGCCCGCCGGAGGACCCAAACUCUUGCUUUUAAUUAGUGGUUAUUCUCUGAGUCUCACAAACAAAAAAUGAAUCAAAACUUUCAACAACGGAUCUCUUGGCUCUGGCAUCGAUGAAGAACGCAGCGAAAUGCGAUAAGUAAUGUGAAUUGCAGAAUUCAGUGAAUCAUCGAAUCUUUGAACGCACAUUGCGCCCGCCAGUAUUCUGGCGGGCAUGCCUGUUCGAGCGUCAUUUCAACCCUCAAGCAACCCCCCUUAGGGGGGGCGCUUGGUGUUGGGGACCGGCCCGCCCCCCGCGGCGCGCCGCCCCCGAAAUGCAGUGGCGACCUCGCCGCAGCCUCCCCUGCGUAGUAGCACAACCUCGCACCGGAGCGCGGAGACGGUCACGCCGUCAACGCCCAACUUUCUUAGAGUUGACCUCGGAUCAGGUAGGAAUACCCGCUGAACUUAAGCAUAUCAAUAGAACAGAAGGACA